CCUACGAGUGGCAGCAGUGGGGAAUCUUCCGCAAUGGGCGAAAGCCUGACGGAGCAACGCCGCGUGAUCGAAUGAAGGCCUUCGGGUUGUAAAGAUCUGUUGACAGGGACGAAUAAGCCAUGCGAAUAGUUUGGUGUAUGACGGUACCUGUUUAGAAAGCUCCGGCUAACUACGUGCCAACAGCCGCGGAAAGACGUAGGGAGCAAGCGUUGUCCUGAAUUACUGGGCGUAAGGGGCGCGUAGGUGGGUGCUUAAGUCAGGUGUGAAAACUCUGGGCUCAACCUGGAGACUGCACUUGAAACUGGGUAUCUUGAGGGCAGGAGAGGAAAGUGGAAUUCCUAGUGUAGCGGUGAAAUGCGUAGAUAUUAGGAGGAACACCAGUGGCGAAGGCGACUUUCUGGACUGUACCUGACGCUGAGGCGCGAAAGCGUGGGUAGCGAACGGGAUUAGAUACCCCGGUAGUC
rnacentral:rRNA from 1 species